AGAAAUUUAGGUUAACACAGACCAAGAGCCUUCAAAGCUCUAAGUAAGUACAAAGUACUUAACUCCUG
rnacentral:tRNA from 1 species